rnacentral:rRNA from 1 species
GACGAACGCUGGCGGCGUGCCUAAUACAUGCAAGUCGAACGCAGUGGGGACGGGUGAGUAACACGUGGGUAACCUCCCCAUCAGAGGGGAUAACACUUGGAAACAGGUGCUAAACCGAUACUGAUGGAUGGACCCGCGGUGCAUUAGCUAGUGGGGGAGGUAACGGCUCACCAAGGCCACGAUGCAUAGCCGACCUGAGAGGGGGAUCGGCCACACUGGGACUGAGACACGGCCCAGACUCCUACGGGAGGCAGCAGUAGGGAAUCUUCGGCAAUGGACGAAAGUCUGACCGAGCAACGCCGCGUGAGUGAAGAAGGUCUUCGGAUUGUAAAACACUUUUAGUAGAGAAGCGGUACCUACAGAGAAAGCACCGGCUAACUACGUGCCAGCAGCCGCGGUAAUUC